CGCAGCCGCGGUAAUUCCAGCUCCAAUAGCGUAUAUUAAAGUUGUUGCAGUUAAAAAGCUCGUAGUUGAAUUUCGGGAUCAAGUCGUCGGUCGUGCUAGGUACGUACUGGCGUCAUUGAUUUCUCCCUUCUGACGAACCAUGAUGUCAUUAAUUUGGUGUUAUGGGAAAUCAGGACUGUUACUUUGAAAAAAUUGAGUGUUUAAAGCAGGCUCACGCUUGAAUACAUUAGCAUGGAAUAAUGAAAUAGGACGUUCGAUCCUAUUUGUGGUUUUAGGAUCAACGUAAUGAUUAAUAGGGAUAGUUGGGGGCAUUAGUAUUCAAUUGUCAGAGGUGAAAUUCUUGGAUUUAUUGGAGACUAACUACUGCGAAAGCAUUUGCCAAGGAUGUUUUCAUUAUCAAGACGAAAGUUGGGAUCGAGACGAUCAGAUACCGUGUAGUCUUAACCAUAAACUNUAGCCGACUAGGGAUCGGAUGAUGUUAAUUUUUAUGACUUCAUUCGGCGUCCUACGGGUAAAACCG
rnacentral:rRNA from 1 species